rnacentral:rRNA from 1 species
GAUGAACGCUGGCGGUAUGCUUAACACACGCAAGUCGAACGGACUCUUCGGAGUUAGUGGCGGACGGGUGAGUAACGCGUGAGAAUCUGGCUUUGGGUUCGGGACAACCACUGGAAACGGUGGCUAAUACCGGAUGUGCCGAGAGGUAAAAGAGAAAUUGCCUGAAGAUGAGCUCGCGUCUGAUUAGCUAGUUGGUGAGGUAAAGGCUCACCAAGGCAGCGAUCAGUAGCUGGUCUGAGAGGAUGACCAGCCACACUGGGACUGAGACACGGCCCAGACUCCUACGGGAGGCAGCAGUGGGGAAUUUUCCGCAAUGGGCGAAAGCCUGACGGAGCAAUACCGCGUGAGGGAAGAAGGCUCUUGGGUUGUAAACCUCUUUUCUUAGGGAAGAACAAAAUGACGGUACCUAAGGAAUCAGCAUCGGCUAACUCCGUGC